rnacentral:lncRNA from 1 species
UGCAUGUGGUCAUUAUCAUCUAAUUAUUAUAAUAUUAAGGAAAUAGUUGGUUCCAGUUCUCUGCUUCAAUCUGCUCAGUCUAUCUUGUAGAUGUGUUGCUCUGAAAGGAAUAAACAGUUCCACCAAGAAAUGAUGCUUGAACAUUUUAGUGGGCAUGGGUAUUUAGGAAGGAAUAAACAGUUCCACCAAGAAAUGAUGCCUGAACCAAGAAAUGAUGCCUGAGCAUUUUAGUGGGCCUGGGUAUUUGGGAAGGAAUAAACAGUUCCACCAAGAAAUGAUGCUUGAACAUUUUAGUGGGAAUGGGUAUAUUUGGGAAGGAAUAAAUAGUUCCACCAAGAAAUGAGUUGGUUUAAUUAGGAUUGGUGAUGCAGCUCAUUUAUUAGUUGGUUUCAGUUCUUCACUUCGAUCUCCUUAUCUUGUAGAUGUGUUGCUUUGAACUUUUUGGAGGGAAUGGGUAUUUGGGAAGAAAUAAACAGUUCCACCAGGAAAUGAGUUGGCUUAAUUAGGAUUGGCCUUGCAGCUUAUUUACUAGUAUUUCACACAGCCCUUCUCCCCAAUUAUUUUGGAUCAUAACCUGAAUAAUGCUGGGCAAGGAAAUUAUCCUUUUGUUUACUGGGUGGUGCUGUAUGUCAUUUUUCUAUGUUGGGCAGGGGUGCAAGAGUUGGUAUCUAAAAUGUGUACUAAUGUUGGAUUUGAAAAAUAUCAAUAAAUUAGGGUUCUUGAACACAUUGCAUUUGAAUAGUAUUAUUUGUGAACUUAAGAUGUUGGAAGAACAUAAAUUGAAUAGAUGGUACAUAUUAAGAAUUUGAUCAUGCAUUCCAUUUAUGUAAUUAUAUUGGAUUUGAUCCUAUUUUGGUCUCUCAUGUAUAGAUCCAAGUGCAUAUCUCUGUGCAUGGACUGCCAACAUUUAAGAGGAAAUGAUUUGUUACCUAAGUCAUGGUUGUUCACUUAUGAAAUUCAUGUAAUGACUUAUGCUUUGGACAUGUAAUGAUAUUUUAAAUGAGCAGUGUCAUAACAAAGCCAUGUGGGUUGGAAUGACUUGUUUCUGAUUGUGGAUUCUAAUGCAUUAAAACUAUUCAUCUUAUGCAACAACUUUAAUCCCAACUACCUGUGGUUGGCUACAUGGAUCCUUUCUUUGCCAUAGGACUUCUGUUUGAUCUUUGUGAAUUGUAUGUCUUUUUCAUUGCAUCUCUUUUUGGACCUUGCAUUUAAUCCAUUGACAAAAUCAAACAUGUACAUGGACCCAACCUCUAAGCCCCCUUUUGUCCAUUCUAGAAAGUUACACAAAAACAGGGAUUUAAGCUUUUGAUCUGAUAACUCAACAUUUUCUAAUGCUCUUCUAUUUCUCUCUCUCUCUCUCUCUCUCUCUCUCUCUCUC